GUUCUUGUGCCACUUCAGACUCCUCCUUCACCAAGUGGCUCAGUGGCUCCCCGGGCCCAGAGGGUAAAUUACCAAGUCCCAGCUCCUGAGAUGUCUCUUCAAGAGGAGACUCCACUUCCCCCACUUGGCAGCCUGCAGACUCCACCUGCUUGGG